AUCCCUGCAGGCAAGUGGCAUGAUGACACAGACAGACACAACCCAUCCCUAUCGGUGUGCCUUAAGACAGAAGAUCACACCCAGGCAGAGCGUGGACCCUGCCCAGAGUUGAAGCCUGCGGACCUCCAGCCCCCAUCUCAAUGGGCUCAGCAAGGAGCCUUCAGAAUGUGUGAAAGGGACCCCUGGAGAAGUUGGGGACAGGGUAGGACAAGGCAGUUCCCCACCGGGCCAACCAGAUGGCCCCACAAGAUCCGUGAAAGACAGUUUCAGAGCCCUGACUGCUCACACCCAACAAGGGCAAAGGACCCACAGAGGUGCCCGCACAGUGGGCUGACAGGCACCGAGACAGAGGCAAUCGGCUAGAAGAGGCCAUGCCCUGAAGCUGCAGACAGGGAGGAGGUCAAGUCAGAGAGGGCACCGGAGAUGGCAAGCGACUCACAAACCCAGGACUACAAAUCCAGUUGGAAACCAAGUGCUUUAGUGGCAAAAGGAGUUUCCCAACCAUCGUCUCAGGCGGCAAGCCCAGAAGUCUGGCCCUGGAGCCGCCACCCGGGCCCUUGUCCCCGUCCACCCGGAAGCCGGCCUCGCCGUCUGCACGGGGUCAGGUCCUGCAGGAACCAGGCUCACUGUGUGAAGAGUGUUUCCCCGUCGUCCUGGCUGCUCUGCCCGGUGACCUUGAGCCUCCAGGCCUCCUCCCUGGCCCUGAGACUCUGCUGGGUGAGGGUUUAGAUCCCUGCCUUCUCUGACUCAGUGUUUCCGACCCGUUCCCUCCUUUGUCCCCUUGCCCAGUGGUGAGCACAUGGGAAGGGGUUGGCCUCUGGUGUGGGACUGAGCCUUCCAGAAUCCCGUAGCUGAGCAAAUCCUCAGUUUGUGGGUCGGGACUUGGAGUGAAGGCUUUGCAUCUUGUCGGCUUUGCUUUUAAUUCGUCCUAAUUUUUAAGAAAGUGGAUUAUAAAGAGAAUAGAUCUGAGGAUGAGGCAAGACGCAGAAAGAGCGUCGGUGAGCAGUGACCUCUCCUCCCAUGCUGGGCCAGGCACCGUGAUCCAAAGACUUGUGGAUCCUGUGACUGAACAUUCCAGAGUAAAGACUUCAGGACGGGGGUCCAGGGUCGCGCUGGAGGGGAGAGGGCGAAGGAAGAGACGCGGAUGGAGAAGAGCAGAGCCCACCCCGCUGCCCGGGACUCUGACCUUGCUCUCAAACAGCACCUUGACCCUUCGAGGUCUCAGCCUUGACGGGACCCCUGCCCGGCUCUCAGAGGGGACGAGUCCACAUCUCAGACCAGACUGGUAACGUUUUCCUUUAAAACAAAUAGUUGUACGUGUGUAUGUCCGUGGUGCCUCAUCUGACCCUUGGCUCCAGGCCUGACUGUACCCAUGAAUAGCGCAGUGAGAACAGUGGCAAUGACCUUGAGAGUAAGAAGCAUUUAUUGAGCACUUGCUGGAUACCAAGCUCUGUGCCACAGACUUUAACCAAGCACAUUCACUAAAUGUUUAUUGAGAAACUAGUUAGUGCACAGAUCGGGGCUUAUGCUGGGGAUUCAUGGGAAUUCAACCACCACGGACAAGACUCAGAAGGAGCCUGGGGUCGCAGACCUUUCAUUCUGUGGACAGACUUGUGUUUAGGUACAUAGAUACCUAAACAAGCACCGCCAGACAGCGAAGGGCACCACGAGGAAGAGCGUGAUCUGCCCGAGUGACCAGAGCAAGGCCCGUCUCCACAGUGACCUUGGAGUGUCCAAUGACCUUCACAUUAAAUGCAGCUGUCCUCUGACUCCUUGGUGCAUCGUCUA
ensembl:lincRNA